rnacentral:rRNA from 1 species
CACGUAGGGUGCGAGCGUUGUCCGGAAUUAUUGGGCGUAAAGAGCUCGUAGGUGGUUUGUCGCGUUGUUCGUGAAAACCUGAGGCUUAACCUUGGGCGUGCGGGCGACACGGGCAGACUGGAGUACUGCAGGGGAGACUGGAAUUCCUGGCGUAGCGGUGGAAUGCGCAGAUAUCAGGAGGAACACCGGUGGCGAAGGCGGGUCUCUGGGCAGUAACUGACGCUGAGGAGCGAAAGCGUGGGGAGCGAACAGG